UCUUGCUGGAGAUCCCUGCUGCCUGAGGCCUUCUAAAGUGUGGUUAUUCCUCCCACUUUACUGUAUGCUGAACUUUCUCACCACAAUACCAUACAUUUGAUCCUGCUUGACGCCAUCUACAGAAGCCUCAGAAUGCAUAGAUCAUAGCUGGAAUCACCAGCCCUGUGCUUGUUCCACACUUUUCAACCUCCCAGGGCAGAUUUAUCUCUCUGCUUCUUGUGUCCAUCUUUCAGCAGGAACACAGCAAAAGCGGAGAAACUACAAACUACUUUCUCUAGUGAACACGUGUGAAUGUCUUCAGAAAAGUCAGAUCCAAGUUCUGACCUCAAUAAGGCACCCGAAUGACUUCUGUGAAUGCCUGCAGAUGUCCUGUAUGACUGUACACUUGGUGCCCUAAACUUGAGGUAUAUCACAGUGAGAAGGACUGCUACAACUAACAGAGGAUUUUCUUGCAAAUUUCUAGAGUUCAUAUAGAGCAUUAUUUAGUCUAUCAUUCUAACGUGCCUGCCAUCCUACUCCAGUAGUCCUCAAGAUCUCCUUUAGUGACAUCACUCAGCAAAACAUCUCUCUCUAUUUGGCUGAGGUGUUGGAGGCAGUAUAGGUAUAGUGGUAAUCACUGCAGAAGAAAAGCCAAGAAAGCACAGCUCUACUGACUUCUGAUAUAUAACUGAUAUAAUACAAUAUAUAAUAUGACUUCUGUUGUGUUAUUUUAACUUUAGGAUGCACAGUGAUUUACCAGGUCAUUUGGGACAGUGAUAGUACCUCUCCUAACCUGUAGAAAUGUGCUUGGAUAUGAUCAAAUUUAUUUCUUUGAUGUAUGUGAAGUUCUUAGUUUAUAUUUAUACAAAAAAGAAAGAAGCAUUCAGGAGAAAAUUAAGAUGGUGAAAUAAUUAGAUGGCUGGAAAAAGAUCUGAAUAGACAUCAAACUAUAAAAUAUGCCAUUUGAAAUGACUACGCAUAAAAAAUGUUCAUUUCUAAAUAAAUGCAAAAAGACUCAGAAUGUAG